rnacentral:rRNA from 1 species
AAGGUUUGACAUGCAGGGAAAAGCCGUAGAGAUAUGGUGUCCGUAAGGGUCCUGCACAGGUGGUGCAUGGCUGUCGUCAGCUCGUGUCGUGAGAUGUUGGGUUAAGUCCCGCAACGAGCGCAACCCUCGUCCUAUGUUGCCAGCGGGUCAUGCCGGGGACUCAUAGGAGACUGCCGGGGUCAACUCGGAGGAAGGUGGGGAUGACGUCAAGUCCUCAUGCCCCUUAUGUCUUGGGCUGCAAACAUGCUACAAUGGCCAGUACAAAGGGUUGCGAGACCGCAAGGUGGAGCGAAUCCCAAAAAGCUGGUCUCAGUUCGGAUUGGGGUCUGCAACUCGACCCCAUGAAGUCGGAGUCGCUAGUAAUCGCGAAUCAGCAACGUCGCGGUGAAUACGUUCCCGGGCC